rnacentral:rRNA from 1 species
AGCGAACGCUGGCGGCAUGCUUAACACAUGCAAGUCGCACGGGCAGCAAUGUCAGUGGCGGACGGGUGAGUAGCGCGUAGGAACGUGUCCUGAGGUGGGGGACAACCCCGGGAAACUGGGGCUAAUACCGCAUAUGGGCUGAGGCCCAAAGCCGAGAGGCGCCUUUGGAGCGGCCUGCGUCCGAUUAGGUAGUUGGUGGGGUAAAGGCCUACCAAGCCUGCGAUCGGUAGCUGGUCUGAGAGGACGACCAGCCACACUGGGACUGAGACACGGCCCAGACCCGGCGGGAGAGAGGAGGGGGGGAAUGUGGAAAAGGGGGGGAAAGCCGGACCCACCAGGGCGGGGGGGGAAAAGAGGUGCUGGGGAUAAAAAACCCCUCGGGGGGGGGCGGAGGAGGAGGGUCCCGAAAGAAGAGGCCCGGGCUAAUUUGGUC